rnacentral:rRNA from 2 species
CGAACUGGUGAGUAACACGUGGGAAACCUGCCCAGAAGCGGGGGAUAACACCUGGAAACAGAUGCUAAUACCGCAUAACAACUUGGACCGCAUGGUCCGAGUUUGAAAGAUGGCUUCGGCUAUCACUUUUGGAUGGUCCCGCGGCGUAUUAGCUAGAUGGUGAGGUAACGGCUCACCAUGGCAAUGAUACGUAGCCGACCUGAGAGGGUAAUCGGCCACAUUGGGACUGAGACACGGCCCAAACUCCUACGGGAGGCAGCAGUAGGGAAUCUUCCACAAUGGACGAAAGUCUGAUGGAGCAACGCCGCGUGAGUGAAGAAGGGUUUCGGCUCGUAAAACUCUGUUGUUAAAGAAGAACAUAUCUGAGAGUAACUGUUCAGGUAUUGACGGUAUUUAACCAGAAAGCCACGGCUAACUACGUGCCAGCAGCCGCGGUAAUACGUAGGUGGCAAGCGUUGUCCGGAUUUAUUGGGCGUAAAGCGAGCGCAGGCGGUUUUUUAAGUCUGAUGUGAAAGCCUUCGGCUCAACCGAAGAAGUGCAUCGGAAACUGGGAAACUUGAGUGCAGAAGAGGACAGUGGAACUCCAUGUGUAGCGGUGAAAUGCGUAGAUAUAUGGAAGAACACCAGUGGCGAAGGCGGCUGUCUGGUCUGUAACUGACGCUGAGGCUCGAAAGUAUGGGUAGCAAACAGGAUUAGAUACCCUGGUAGUCCAUACCGUAAACGAUGAAUGCUAAGUGUUGGAGGGUUUCCGCCCUUCAGUGCUGCAGCUAACGCAUUAAGCAUUCCGCCUGGGGAGUACGGCCGCAAGGCUGAAACUCAAAGGAAUUGACGGGGGCCCGCACAAGCGGUGGAGCAUGUGGUUUAAUUCGAAGCUACGCGAAGAACCUUACCAGGUCUUGACAUACUAUGCAAAUCUAAGAGAUUAGACGUUCCCUUCGGGGACAUGGAUACAGGUGGUGCAUGGUUGUCGUCAGCUCGUGUCGUGAGAUGUUGGGUUAAGUCCCGCAACGAGCGCAACCCUUAUUAUCAGUUGCCAGCAUUAAGUUGGGCACUCUGGUGAGACUGCCGGUGACAAACCGGAGGAAGGUGGGGAUGACGUCAAAUCAUCAUGCCCCUUAUGACCUGGGCUACACACGUGCUACAAUGGAUGGUACAACGAGUUGCGAACUCGCGAGAGUAAGCUAAUCUCUUAAAGCCAUUCUCAGUUCGGAUUGUAGGCUGCAACUCGCCUACAUGAAGUCGGAAUCGCUAGUAAUCGCGGAUCAGCAUGCCGCGGUGAAUACGUUCCCGGGCCUUGUACACA